GCGCUUCUCCUGGGGUAGGGAAGCAAGUCAUGGGUGUUUUACAGCCUGACUUUCUGGAAGAAGCAACAGGAUUGUACCCACCUAUAACGAGAAAGCUUAACUUACUGACAUAUUCUCAUUGCUGAAGACUCUGUCUGAAUGAGGAUUUCAAUCUCAAGUCUAGGAUGUGAUUUCAUCUGGUGAAGGGGAGAGGCAGACACGGAAGAAGCGCAUCUGUAGCUAAGAAAGAAAUACACUGACCCCAUUUCCAGUGGUUGAGCUUCUCUCCAAGUAGGUAGAUGCUGGCGAUGAAGACGUAGCUGAGAGAGAAGAAAGCUGCUAGACCCAAGAGGCUGAGUUUGGCAAACACAGGAUACACCCAGGUACCCGUCUCAAAGUAGAGCCAUAGGAUGCUGCAGGAAAUAAGAAGUCGUGGUGGUUAUAGCAGGAGGAGAAAAACAAGCCAUUUUCUCAUCAGGAUUAAUGAGGCAUUUUGGUUGAAUAAGAACUAAGGUUUGAACAGGAAAGAUGAGAAGAGCAGGAGAUGAGAUACCCUCUCCUCUCCUAGUCCUCCACCUCCAUCCCUCUUCAGUUUGGAUCCUGGCUGGGCUGGACCCCGCAUGUUGACAACAAGGAUGUGUUGUGUGGCAUCUUUUUAAUUAAUUUUCAUAUAUGAAUUUACAGGUAGGGUAAGGAUUUCUUCUGUGGAAAAUGGUGCUGAGAUUCCAAUCCCUGCUGAGUUGAGGUUAUAAAGCUAUGGUUGACCUGGAUGAUCUCAGUUGAAGGUCAUAUUUUGGAAACGGUAACAGUGGCUCUGGUAGGGAGUUCACAACAUGGUUGGUUCUGAGCAGGACCAACCAUGUGUUAGGGAAAAUAUUUAUUCAAUAGAAAAAUGAAUAAAAACCAGAAAGAGAAGAAGAGAAUUGCUGAUUCUGGAAAUGGCAAGGUGGCUGGUCCUGGAACUCAGCUUAGUCCACCCCUUGGCAGUUUUUAAUGUAUUCUCAGGGUAAGAUGUGUACAUGUAUUUGUAAAUGAGGCAUGAAUUUAAAGAACUGUUACUUCUGGGAACCCAGGAAGCUUUGCUGAGGGAUCUUACCCUGGAGAGCACAGUAUAAAAGAAAGUAAUUCUCUCUCUUGCCUCAUAGCAACUACUUUGGGGAAGGGACUUUACAAACAUCUGCCCCAAGGCUGGGUGACAGCUGCAUAUCUGUGCAGUGUUUGUACGGGGCAUGCAAUACUUUACACACUAGCAGGGACACCUGCAGCAUCAGUAGGUUUCUGGUCUACCAAGAGCAGUGUGAUGAUGCACUCCAGGCCAGCUGGGGUGGUUGCUGUGGCGAGUAACAUUGUUAAUUCUACCAACACAGGGGGCUGAUGGGUAAAUGACACUGUUGGCAUCAGCAGUGGGCAUGGUGUGCUAACCCUUAACACUGUGCCAGGUGGGGAUGUUGGACCCAGUGGGGAUUACAGUUUUGCUAUCUGUGUGUAAGAACAAUGCUCAGAACAGUGUGCAGCAUGGGUUGUGCAGUGCACGACAGGGGCAUGUGUGAGCACUCAGCAGAUUAUUGGAACUCCUUGGAAAACUGGACCAAGACCUCCAAGGCAGAAGGGUGCUUGGGGAUAUCACUGGAACUGUGAAAUAACCAUACAUAAAAACUAAGACAUUGUGAUCAAAGUACAUAAUGUGCUGGCUAGUUUUUAUUUUUAUAUUGGUUUAUAUUUUAUUUUGUUUCCCAUCUCUUGUCACUCCAACUUAUUUGAAGCACUAUUGUCAAGAAUGACAUUUUAAAGCAUAAUUUGCUGGCCAAGUUACAAAUACUGCUCACCCUUGCUUCCACUCCAAACAAACAAACAAACAACAGCAACAACAAAUGCUCCCAUUUUCUAUACUAUGUCCAACAUCCUCUAGUCUGCCAUCUGCAAGCCUUCAUGAGUGGGUAGUUCCAGGGAUAUUUCUCAUUAGUCUCUUUCACAAACAGGUCCAGCAAAGAGAAUUACUGACCCUUGCUCUCACGCUUUCUGCACUCUCCUGGCCUUGGGACUGUGCUCCUUUUGUUUACCUUCUCUCAUUUUUUCUAGCUCCAAUCCUGCCGGUCCUUCAGGGCUCAGAUCCAAUGCAUGCCUUCCACAGUGCCCUUCCCACACCGCUCAGCUGGAUGCAAACUCUUCCUUUUCUGUGGCUCCUUGUGUUUUUUUUAUGAGGUUUUACCACUUUCCAUCUUCUGCACUUAUAAUUUGUAUGCAUGGGUCAUCUCCACUUAUUAAGGAUAAACCCCCUGCAGGCUGAAGCUUGGCCUGAUAUAACAUUGCUUUUCUGGGCAGGACCAACCAUGUGUUAGGGAAAAUAUUUAUUC
rnacentral:lncRNA from 1 species